rnacentral:siRNA from 1 species
CACCUGUUAAGCGGCCUGGCCCAU